rnacentral:rRNA from 1 species
UACGUAGGGGGCGAGCGUUGUCCGGAUUUACUGGGCGUAAAACGCUUGUAGGUGGCCACGCCAAGUCGGACGUGAAAUCUCCCGGCUUAACUGGGAGGGGUCGUUCGAUACUGGCGGGCUCGAGGCAGGUAGGGGGAAGCGGAAUUCCCGGUGUAGUGGUGGAAUGCGUAGAUAUCGGGAGGAACACCAGUGGCGAAGGCGGCUUCCUGGACCUGUUCUGACACUGAGGAGCGAAAGCGUGGGGAGCGAGUCCGG